rnacentral:rRNA from 1 species
GACGAACGCUGGCGGCGUGCUUAACACAUGCAAGUCGAACGGAAAGGCCCUGCUUUUGUGGGGUGCUCGAGUGGCAAACGGGGGGGUAACCCGUGGGUAACCUGCCCUUGCCUUUGGGAUACCUUCAGGAAACUGGGGCUAAUACCGGAUAGGAGCUCCUGCGGCAGGGGGGGGGUUGGAAAGUUUCGGCGGUUGGGGAUGGACUCGCGGCUUAUCAGCUUGUUGGUGGGGUAGUGGCUUACCAAGGCUUUGACGGGUAGCCGGCCUGAGAGGGUGACCGGCCACAUUGGGACUGAGAUACGGCCCAGACUCCUACGGGAGGCAGCAGUGGGGAAUAUUGCACAAUGGGCGGAAGCCUGAUGCAGCAACGCCGCGUGCGGGAUGACGGCCUUCGGGUUGUAAACCGCUUUCGCCUGUGACGAAGCGUGAGUGACGGUAAUGGGUAAAGAAGCACCGGCUAACUACGUG